UAUAUAUACAAAGGAAAAAGAAAAAGAAAAAAAGACAAAGAAAAAUCAGGUGAGAAAAAUGUGAAGUGAGAAAAUGUUUAGUGAUGAUCAUCCUUAACGCAUUGCCCUAAAGUAUCAAGCGAUUAUCCCUUUUUAAUAUGGAAGAAUGGUUGGACAUAAAGUUGUUUCACUGAUACUCUUCCUAGCAGGAUGGCAGGGAGUAGCAACUUUAAUACAAGUACGCCAUGUAGCAGUAGAUGUAGGUCAAGCUCUUAUAUUAGCUUGUGCAGAAGAAGAUGCUGCUGCUCUUCCACAUACAGAUUCUCCCGGAGUAAUGUGGAUAAGAGAAGGUCGUGAAGAUGGGCAGAUUAAACGGUUAAAAGUUGAGUCUAAUGGCAUGCUAGAACUUGUAAAUGUUAGUACAGACGAUGCAGGUAAUUACUCUUGUACCUUGGACGACGACUUGGACGCUGUUAAAUCCAGAAUAAAUAUAGAAGUUAGAACACCGCCACCAGCUUUGCGAAAUGUUUGGGUAAAGCCAUCGACAAUAUUGGCUAAUAUUCUUUGGGAAGUCGGUGGUACUGGUGGAUAUCCUAUCAUAGAUUUUACUGCCGAAUAUCGUCUAAAAGCAAACGAUGGUGAAAAACCGGAACAAUGGAAGCCAAUUAUACCAACGCACAUUCCACCCAAUUCUAGACAAAUUGACGUGUACCAUUUGAUGCCAAACACGACUUAUUCCUUUCGAGUGUGGGCUACCAAUCAGUUGGGCAGAGGAGAAAUAGUUGAAGUUGAAAAUCAUACACAUCAUAGUGUGGAAGAAUUGGAACUUGCAAGACAUUUUUUAGCGGGUGUAGAAGAUUUUGACACCCGUAUUUGGGUUGCAGCAGUAGGCAUUGUUAUGGGAACACUUUUGAUUCUUGGUAUGGGUACAUGUUACCUCCUCUAUCGUGAGUGCAAGGCACCCUCGCAGCUGGAGGAGCAGGAAGUGAUUGAACUUGUUCCAAAUAUUAUUUUGAAUCCUGGAUUUUUUGACGAAAGGACAGAACACAUUCCGCAAGAUGAAAAUUUUAACAAUCAAACUACAACACGCCUAAAUAAUAACAACGUAGUGCAGCCAAGGCGACUUUAGCAAUCUCACAUUGAAAAAUUAGAUUUUUGCAUGGAGGAUUUUUGUUUGAUUCAAUGAAUUGGGGGUUGUAUUUCAAAUAGCCUCAACGUGAUUAUUAUUAUAAAAGUGCAACAAACAAAUGCAGGGCAACUAAAAAACCAAAAAAAAAAACCAAAAACGAAAAAAAAAACAUGAAAAAGAGAACAAGAAAAUUGGAAUCAUAUUUGUAUUAACAUAGAUGUCCUCUAAGUAUGUAUCAAUGCUUGAGUGCAUCCAGAUAAAACGACAUUUUUUUAGACACAAUUACAAUGUGUUAAGUGUUCAAAGCAAAAGUAGCAGACUCUGCUAGGACUUUGUUAAAUGGCAAAGUAGAUUUUUGAACAAGUUUUUUUGUCAUUCAAACUCUCUCGCUAAUUUCUUGUUGCUCGUUAAACGGAGCUAAAAAAAAAAAAAGAAAGAAAAAA
rnacentral:misc_RNA from 1 species